rnacentral:rRNA from 1 species
AGCGAACGCUGGCGGCAGGCUUAACACAUGCAAGUCGAACGCCCCGCAAGGGGAGUGGCAGACGGGUGAGUAACACGUGGGAACGUACCCUUUGGUUCGGAAUAACUUGGGGAAACUCAAGCUAAUACCGGAUAAGCCCUUAUGGGGAAAGACUUACUGCCGAAGGAUCGGCCCGCGUCUGAUUAGCUAGUUGGUGAGGUAAGGGCUCACCAAGGCGACGAUCGGUAGCUGGUCUGAGAUGAUGAUCAGCCACACUGGGACUGAGACACGGCCCAGCCCCCUACCGGAGUCAGCAGUGGGGAGUAUUGGACACUGGGGGCAACCGAGGUCCGGCCACGCCGCGUGAACAAUGAAGGCCUGAGGGUUCUAAAGCUCUUUUUCCCGGGACGAUAAUGACUGUACCGGGAGAAUAAGCCCCGGCUAACGUCGUGCCAGCCGCCGCCGUAA